UGAAACAAACUGAGGUCACAGGACGUAUGAGUAACUCAAAAUUAAUAUGCAGCCGCAUACGCCCGGGGUCGUAUUGGACAACAAGGCACAGAGGCGCGCGAGGGACGUCAUCAAUGCAUAAAAUUGCAGUGGGAGUAUUUAUAUGAAAAAAUUAAUAACUGAUACUGAUGCGCAGUUACAAUUCGAUAGGUGUGCCUGUCUGUUGCGCUCAUAGCGAUGACUUUGGACUCUGUGUGUUUCCCCGAACCAACUCAUCUUUUUUUAAGGACUCCACUUUGAAGUCA